CAAAACUCCACUUCCAGGUAUAUACCCUUGAAUUGUUCAUCUGUAAAAGCUUAGGAAAUGGCAACCCACUCCAGUAUAAAGUGAGCGAUAAAUUGAAACCAUACUUGCAACAUGCGGGGGGCGCCCUGCAGAAAGAGAGAAGCAGUGGAACUUCGCUCAGCAAAGCCGAGGGGUCCCGAGGAGAGGUGAGCCUGCUGUCCACCAAGCCAGCGCCUCUGCGAGCCAGAGACAAUGAGACACUACACGGGUUCCAUCUAAGUACUUCCGCUUUAUUGCUGCAAGCUCUUGAUUUAUAUAGGCAAGCAGGGGGUUUUGCAAGGGACUUUCUAUAGUUGCACCAAUCAUGUUAAAGGUCAAAUCGUCAUGUGCCAUAGUUGCACCAAUCAUGUUAAAGGUCAAAUCAUAAUAUGCCAGAGUUGCACCAAUCACGUUAAAGGUCAAAUCAUAAUAUGCCAUAGUUACACCAAUCACGUUAAAGGUCAAAUCUGCAUUUUCAAGACUUGUUGUCUCCCCUCAAGUUUGUCCGCACUGUUUGUUCCUUGUAUGAAGGGUGCUCUCAGGGUUGGAUGAGGGAAAGGUCGUGUGAUCUGGUCUCCCUGCCUGGGCUGAGUCUCCUGGAGCUCAUCUCAAAACCACACCUCCCCCAGGAUGCUGUACUGUGUGAGAGCAGUCCAUGUGAAGCUGCCCCUAGAGUCCAGCACGGCCACAGACUCUAGAGACUGUGAAGGGGCCGCUGGCUUUCUUUACACAUUUGCUCUAGCAGCCCUGCUGACCUGAUCUCCUGGGACUGACCAGACCUAGGUCAGAGACUCAGAGCAGUAGGACCUGGGGUGAGUGCUCCCCUUAGAACCCACUACUCUCUCCAGACCAAAGCUCCAGGUGGUUUUGAUCAUCAUCUUUGCAUGCUCCUCAACUCAUUUGUUUAGCUUUUAUUUAUUGUUUUAUUUGUUUCUCAUUUGAGCUGUGGGAUUUUCUGAUAUAUUUUGAGUAUGAGCUCCUAAUGUGAUAUAUGGUUUGCAAUUUUUCUGUAGGUUAACGUUUCAUCCUACAGAUUGUUGAAGAGACAGCCCUUUCCCUAUUUUGUUGUCCUAGAACCUUUAUGAAUUUCAUUUCACCUUUUAUGCGUGAGUUUCCUUGUUUGUUUUUCAUUCUGGUAUUUAGGGCUAUGCAUCUAUUUCUAUGUCAGUAUCAUACAGCUUUGAUUUCUAUAACUUUGUAAUGUGUUUUGAAAUCAAG
ensembl:lncRNA